rnacentral:rRNA from 1 species
CCAAAAGCUGGCGACCGGCGCACGGGUGAGUAACAGGUAUCCAACCUGCCUCAUACUCGGGGAUAGCCUUUCGAAAGAGAGAUUAAUAUCCGAUAGCAUAUAUUUCCCGCAUGGGUUUUAUAUUAAAGAAAUUCGGUAUGAGAUGGGGAUGCGUUCCAUUAGUUUGUUGGGGGGGUAACGGCCCACCAAGACUACGAUGGAUAGGGGUUCUGAGAGGAAGGUCCCCCACAUUGGAACUGAGACACGGUCCAA